UAGGGAAUUUUUCGCAAUGGACGCAAGUCUGACGGAGCAAUACCGCGUGAGGGAUGAAGGUUUUCGGAUCGUAAACCUCUGUUGUAAGGGAAGAAUAGCAGGUGUAGGAAAUGGCAUCUGUCUGACGGUACCUUACCAGAAAGUGACGGCUAACUACGUGCCAGCAGCCGCGGUAAUACGUAGGUCACGAGCGUUAUCCGGAAUUAUUGGGCGUAAAGAGCAUGUAGGCGGUUUGUUAAGUUUGGUGUGAAAGCUAGUGGCCUAACCACUAAAUUGCAUUGAAAAACUGACAAACUAGAAUACUGGAGAGGUAAGUGGAAUUUCUUGUGUAGCGGUGGAAUGCGUAGAUA
rnacentral:rRNA from 1 species